UACGAAGGGGGCUAGCGUUGCUCGGAAUUACUGGGCGUAAAGGGCGCGUAGGCGGACAGUUUAGUCAGAGGUGAAAGCCCAGGCUCAACCUUGGAAUUGCCUUUGAUACUGGCUGUUUUGAGUUCGGGAGAGGUGAGUGGAACUCCGAGUGUAGAGGUGAAAUUCGUAGAUAUUCGGAAGAACACCAGUGGCGAAGGCGACUCACUGGCCCGAUACUGACGCUGAGGCGCGAAAGCGUGGGGAGCAAACAGGG
rnacentral:rRNA from 1 species